UGCGUAGGCCACUAAGCGUGUCAGGUGUGAAAUCUCGGGGCUUAACCUCGAAACUGCGCCUGAAACUGUUUAGCUUGAGUAUUGGAGAGGUAAGCGGAAUUUCUGGUGUAGCGGUGAAAUGCGUAGAUAUCAGAAGGAACACCAAUGGCGAAGGCAGCUUACUGGACAAUAACUGACGCUGAGGCACGAAAGCGUGGGUAGCGAAAG
rnacentral:rRNA from 1 species